rnacentral:lncRNA from 1 species
ACAAAGGGUAAGGAAUGGAGUGAAUAUUGGGAAGGCAACUAACCAUGUCAUCCUCACCAGGAAACCUGGUCUUGAUGUCAGACAGGCAUUGAUUUGUGCAGAAGCAGAUGUGCAGACUCUGCAUUGCCUAGUACACUGACCUAUGUGAUCAAAAGUCCAUGUGUUAUUUUGAAAAUCAUUUCAGAAAACUCCAAACUAGUAAGUAGACAAUCACUUGAAAGAUGUCAAGGUCCUCUAUCUGGAGAAGCAAUUGAGAGCCAAGGCUCAGGUGUGGUAUGUGUGGGGUGCUCUUUCUUAGGGUGCUGUGCAUGGUAGCAGGGGGCAGACACAUCAGUUAUGUGUAGGAAGACUGCCGGGAAUGAAGCCAUCAGAUCAUGUUCACGAGGCUCACACAAAGGGGCUGCAUGGAAGUAGAACUAAACUAUGAAAUUCAUGUUGAGGGAGUCUUGAGGAAUAAGACAGAAUAGUAAGAAGGUGGUGAAUAAGUAGGAGGGAGGAAGCUUUAAGACAUUUCAGAAAUAAUGUAAAAAUGCCAGUAAAACACUUGUAAAUGCUCAGAGUGCAUGGGCAGACCAAUGAAAGAAAAAUACAAUUCAAUGCAAUUAUCUAUGAUGUCAAAGUUUUUAUUAUCAAGUUCUUGAGUGUGUAUGAAAUUUGUGUGAAUUUUUGUUUCUUUUUUUCUUUUUAUACUGGGGAUUGAACCCAGAGGAGCUUAACCAUGAGCCACAUUCCCAGCCCUUUUUAUUUUUUAUUUUGAGACAGGAUCUUGCUAAGUUGCUAAGGCUGACUUUGCUCUUGAUUUAGCCUCCUGAUUUGCCUCUUGAUCUGCUGGGAUUACAGGCAUGUGCCACCAUGCCAGGUUUUGUAUGAACUCUUCUUAUCCUUCAAGUAUUAGAUUAAAUAUUUCUUCUCCAGAGAUACUUUGAUCAGAAUUUCUUCUACCCUCUAUUAUUUCUUUAUUACUGUACUUCAUAUCAAAG